rnacentral:tRNA from 1 species
GCCACGGUGGUCUAGCGGUUAGAACGCUGGCUUUGUAAUCUUGGGGUCUCGGGUUCGAUUCCCGGCGGUGCCC